GGAGAAAAAGCUCUUUUGCGAUUUGUCAAAAACCGCAAGUAACUGCGUGGUGGAAAUUUCGCAGCUAAAAAUUUAAAAAUUCCGCCUGAAAACAUACUAAAUUUGUGAAAAUUCAUACCGAAUUUUACUGAAGAGCAAGUGAAGCAUCGAAUGCCAACAUGUCCCGAUAUAUGCAGAGACCAGAAAAUGCCCUAAAACGGGCGAACGAAUUCAUCGAGGUGGGUAAACCGGCUCGAGCGCUGGACACCCUGCAAGAGGUAUUCCGCAUUAAAAAAUGGACUUACACCUGGUCGGAGUCGGUUAUCGAACCAAUCAUGUUCAAGUAUCUGGAUCUUUGUGUGGAGCUGAAAAAAUCCCACAUCGCUAAGGAAGGUUUAUUCCAGUACCGGAACAUGUUCCAGCUUGUGAAUGUCGGCUCGCUAGAGAAUGUUAUCCGUGGCUAUUUGAAGAUGGCAGAAGAGCGUACGGAAGCUGCCCAGCAGCAGUCAUCGCAGGCAAUUUUGGAGAUUGAUGAUGAUUUGGAUAACUUGGCUACACCGGAAUCGAUUCUGAUGAGUGCGGUGUGUGGUGAAGAUGCUCAGGAUCGUUCCGAUCGGACGAUUUUACUACCCUGGGUAAAGUUCCUGUGGGAAAGCUAUUGCCAGUGUUUAGAGUUGUUGAAGGUCAACUCGCACUGUGAGAAUCUGUACCACGACAUUGCAAAGAUGGCAUUUCAAUUUUGCUUGAAGUACAACCGUAAGAUGGAGUUCAGGAAACUAUGCGAAAAACUUAGAAAGCAUCUAGAGGACAUCAGUAAGGUUAGUUCGCAAACUGCCAACGUUAGCAUCUCGAAGCCGGAAACACAACAGCUGAAUUUAGACACUCGUCUUCAUCAGUUGGAUUGUGCCAUCCAGAUGGAACUGUGGUUGGAGGCUUACAAGGCUAUAGAAGAUAUUCACGGAUUGAUGUCGCUUUCGAAGAAAACACCAAUGCCUAAAACGAUGGCAUUGUACUAUCAAAAGCUGGCAAUGGUGUUCUGGAAGGCUGGGAAUCAACUGUUUCAUGCUGCUGCUUUGCUCAAAUUGUUCCAACUGUCGCGUGAUAUGAAGAAGAAUGUCACACAGGAGGAAAUUCAACGAAUGACGUCGCAUGUGUUGAUCGCAACGUUAGCUAUUCCACUUCCCUCGGCUCAUCCGGAGUUUGAUCGUUUCAUUGAGACAGAUAAGAGCCCAUUAGAGAAAGCUCAAAAAUUAGCCGUUCUGCUAGGAUUGCAACAGCCACCAUCGCGUGCUUCACUGCUAAAGGAGCUGCUUCGUUUGAACGUGCUUCAGUUGGCUGCUCCUCAGUUUCAGAAUUUGCAUCGUUGGCUUGAAAUCGAAUUCGAUCCGUUGAAUUUGUGCUCCCAUGUUCAAGGUGUUAUUGAAGAAAUUACUGCGGACGAGAACAGUCCGUACACGCAAUACUCUCAAGCCCUGCAGGAUGUGACCCUUGUCCGAUUGGUUCGUCAAGUUUCGCAAGUUUAUCAAUCGAUUGAGUUUUCGCGUUUUCUCGCAUUGGCCAAGUUUGCAAACAGUUUUUAUUUGGAACGGAUUUUGGUCGACUGUGUUCGUCACAAUGACAUGCAGAUCACAAUCGAUCAUCGUAAUCAUAGUGUUCAUUUCGGGACGGAUCUGAGUGAAAGCCAGCGAGAGGAUCAUCCGGAUGGACCAACACUGCAGUCAAUGCCUUCCGAGCAGGUCCGUUCGCAACUGGUUAACAUGUCGGUUGUGCUGCACCGAGCCAUUGCCACUAUCAAUCCAAACCGCAAGAAAGGCGAACGGGAGAGGUUGCGAACGCAGAUGGUUAAACACUACGAGGAUAAUAUGGUCAAGGAGCAUCAGCGUAUUCUGCAGCGACAGAAGAAGAUCGAAGAUCGCAAGGAAUACAUCGAGAGGGUCAAUCUGAAACGUGAAGAGGAAGAACUUAGACUACAGGAGGAAGCAGCUCGGUUACAGAAGCUUGCCGAAAUGAAACGGUUGGAAUUGGAGAACGAGGAACGCGAGAGAAAACGACAGGAGUAUGAGAUUCAGGUAAUUAAGGAACGUAACAUGAAGGACAAGAUUGACCAGAUCAAACAGACGGCCAGCGGUCUGAAGAUGCUGAAGAAAUUCGACGAAGAAGAUAUUAAAAAAAUGAACGCCGAGGAAAUUGCCGCACGAGAGGCGGAAGAACGUGUGAAAGAGCGCAAGGCCCACGAUAACAAUCUGAAGUCGCAGGAAAAGAAGAUAGACUACUUUGAGCGAGCUAAACGACUGGAGGAAAUUCCGCUCAUCGAGAAAUACUUGGAGAACAAACUGGUACAAGAUAAAGAAUUUUGGGAAAAGCAGGAAGCAACGCGCAUCGAGGCGGCCAUCGCAGAAAGGAAAAAUGCAGAAGCGAUACAGGAGCGAUUGCGACGUAUGCAACCGGAUCGGGAAGUCUUCUGGCAGAAGUUAAAGGGCGAACGGAGCAAUCAGUUUGCCGAGAAGUUGAAGGCAUUCAAUGUCGAGUUAGAGGAAGAACGUAAACGUCGGCUUAUGGAAAGGGUUGGACAACGGCGCGAGGAGCGCCGUCAACGUUGGCUCAAGGAGAAAGAGGAAGAGCGUCGCCGGGUUGAGGAAGAACUUCGAAAACAGAAAGAGGAGGAAGAACGUAUCGAGCGAGAAAGACGAGCAGAGGAACGAAAGGCGGAGGCCGAAAAAAAUCGCUUAAUUUUCGAGAGGCAGCGCGCUAGAGAAGAGGAAAUCGAGAAAAAAUUGCAAGAGGAACGUGAGCGACUAAAAGCUUCCCGCGAAAAACCGCCUCGCGAAAUGGAUUCUUGGAGAGAUAAACGAGGAGAAACUGCACCGCAACCGGCAGCAGGUCCUGCAGCGGCAGCGACUACAACAGCAGCAGCAACACCAGCAGCAGCGGCAGCAGAGUCCGGACGAGAAGAGCCUCCCAAAAAGGAAGGCAUUUGGCAACCUCGUUUCCGUGAGGGUCGUGGUGCUGGUGCAUCAGCAGCAGGUCAGGAUCGACGACCUGCUGGUGACGAUGCGUUCAAAUGGCGACGCAGAGAUGAUGACACUAGGGAAGAUCGUGAUGGACCACGUCGUGGAGGAGAUGAUCGUGGUCCCAUCCGCCGCGGGGGAGACGAUCGGGACGAUCGUGGGCCAAUUCGGCGAAAUGAUCGUGAUGAACGGGAUGAUCGUGGUCCAAUAAGACGUGCAGAUCGGCCACCGAUGCGCGAUGGCGAUCGUACCGGUGGUGGAAUGCGUCGAGAUGGUGAUCGUCGAGAUUUUGCCGGCCGUGAUCGGCGUGAUGAUCGUCCUGGUCCACGUCGCGAUGGAGAUCGAGAUAAUGUGUGGCGUCCGGCUCAGGAUGAUCGUCGCGGGGGUAGCGGACGCGGAGGUGAUGAUUCUGGUAGUAGCUGGAGAGCUCGUCAGGAACCGGCAGCCAAACCGAAAGAGGAUCGCCGCGAAGAGCGGCGUGGAAACGAUGAGCGAUCAAAGGAAGCAGCUCGUAGCACUGGUCCUGACGAGGAUGGUUGGCAGGACGUCAAACAUCGUUAAAUUGCUAACAGCCAUUCAUUUUUAUUAUUUUUUUUUGAACCUAUUUCGUAUAUACCCUUUGACUUCUAGUGGGAUUGUUUGGCAAAGAUUAUAACGAUACAGUGAAAACAUUUCUGAUUUUAUACAUUUGUGUAUUCAUCGUUAAAGUAAACAAAAUAUGAUUCGACUUCAGCAUGCGAAUUGAACACAGACUAAAACUCAAAUACACACAAACUUAAUUAUAUGACGUUAUCUAGCUAUUCGAAUGCUGUUUAAAAAUGGGAAUAUGCCUAUUAUAGCUUGCAAAAAUAUUCGAAGUUCAACAAGUAUAAUAUUCUGACUAACAAUUCAGUAAUAAAGAAUCAGCAUAUGUAUCUGGUAGUACAAA